AUUGAACGCUGGCGGCAUGCUUUACACAUGCAAGUCGAACGGUAACAGGCCUUCGGGUGCUGACGAGUGGCGAACGGGUGAGUAAUACAUCGGAACGUACCCAGAGGUGGGGGAUAACGCAGCGAAAGCUGUGCUAAUACCGCAUGUGAUCUGAGGAUGAAAGCGGGGGACCGAGCAGCAAUGUUUGGCCUCGCGCCUUUGGAGCGGCCGAUGUCGGAUUAGCUAGUUGGUGGGGUAAAGGCCUACCAAGGCGACGAUCCGUAGCUGGUCUGAGAGGACGACCAGCCACACUGGGACUGAGACACGGCCCAGACUCCUACGGGAGGCAGCAGUGGGGAAUUUUGGACAAUGGGCGCAAACCUGAUCCAGCAAUGCCGCGUGCGGGAAGAAGGCCUACGGGUUGUAAAACGCUUUUGGCAGGAACGAAACGGUGUCCGCUAAUACCGGGCGCUAAUGACGGUACCUGCAGAAUAAGCACCGGCUAACUACGUG
rnacentral:rRNA from 1 species